UACGGAGGGUGCGAGCGUUAAUCGGAAUUACUGGGCGUAAAGCGCACGCAGGCGGUUUUUUAAGUCGGAUGUGAAAGCCCCGGGCUCAACCUGGGAACUGCAUCCGAUACUGGAAGACUAGAAUGCGGGAGAGGGAGGUAGAAUUCCAUGUGUAGCAGUGAAAUGCGUAGAUAUAUGGAGGAAUACCAGUGGCGAAGGCGGCCUCCUGGCUCGACAUUGACGCUGAGGUGCGAAAGCGUGGGGAGCAAACGGG
rnacentral:rRNA from 1 species